GGCUGAUCUGAAGGUAGUGAGUUUUCUCACUCGAUUGUUCACAGUUACAGAUUGAACUCCUUGUUCUACUGCUUUCCCCCUCCUCACCGAUGCACUUGACUAGUCUUAA
rnacentral:Y_RNA from 1 species